GAUGAACGCUAGCGGCAGGCUUAAUACAUGCAAGUCGAGGGACAGCACAGGUAGCAAUACUGGGUGGUAACCGGCAAACGGGUGCGGAACACGUACACAACCUUCCUUUAAGUGGGGGAUAGCCCAGAGAAAUUUGGAUUAAUACCCCGUAAGAUAGUCGAAUGGCAUCAUUUGAUUAUUAUAGCUACGGCGCUUAAUGAUGGUUGUGCGGCUGAUUAGAUAGUUGGCGGGGUAACGGCCCACCAAGUCUACGAUCAGUAGCUGAUGUGAGAGCAUGAUCAGCCACCCGGGCACUGAGACACGGGCCCGACUCCUAUGGGAGGCAGCAGUAAGGAAUAUUGGUCAAUGGACGCAAGUCUGAACCAGCCAUGCCGCGUGAAGGAUUAAGGUCCUCUGGAUUGUAAACUUCUUUUAUUUGGGACGAAAAAGGGCCUUUCUAGGUCAACUGACGGUACCAGAUGAAUAAGCACCGGCUAACUCCGUGCCAGCCGCCGCGGUAAUAC
rnacentral:rRNA from 1 species